rnacentral:rRNA from 1 species
UACGUAGGGUGCAAGCGUUGUCCGGAAUUAUUGGGCGUAAAGAGCUCGUAGGCGGUCUGUUGCGUCGGCUGUGAAAACCCGGGGCUCAACUCCGGGCUUGCAUUCGAUACGGGCAGGCUAGAGUUCGGUAGGGGAGUCUGGAAUUCCUGGUGUAGCGGUGAAAUGCGCAGAUAUCAGGAGGAACACCGGUGGCGAAGGCGGGACUCUGGGCCGAUACUGACGCUGAGGAGCGAAAGCGUGGGGAGCGAACAGG